rnacentral:rRNA from 1 species
AUGUAAUUGGAAUGAUGGGAAUUUAAACCUCUUCCAGAGUAUCUCUCUGGAGGGCAAGUCUGAUGCCAGCAGCCGCGGUAAUUCCAGCUCUCUUAGCGUAUAUUAAAAUUGUUGCAGUUAAAAAGCUCGUAGUUGAAUUUCUGCUGUAUUGCAUUUUCUCUUUUUAUAUGAGUUUUUGCAUUAUGGCUUAUUUCAGUAUUAAUUUUUUAUUAUUACUGAAUGUUUACUUUGAGAAAAUUAGAGUGCUCAAAGCAGGCUUUUGCCUUGAAUAGUUUAGCAUGGAAUAAUAAAGUAGGACUUUGGUUCUAUUUUGUUGGUUUUAGGUACCAAAGUAAUGGUUAAUAGGAACAGUUGGGGGCAUACGUAUUUAACUGUCAGAAGGUGAAAUUCUUAGAC